rnacentral:rRNA from 1 species
GGGCCCGCACAAGCGGUGGAGCAUGUGGUUUAAUUCGAUGCAACGCGAAGAACCUUACCUGGUCUUGACAUACACAGAAUCUUGUAGAGAUACGAGAGUGCCUUCGGGAAUUGUGAUACAGGUGCUGCAUGGCUGUCGUCAGCUCGUGUCGUGAGAUGUUGGGUUAAGUCCCGCAACGAGCGCAACCCUUGUCCCUAGUUGCCAGCGGUUCGGCCGGGAACUUUAGGGAGACUGCCGGUGAUAAACCGGAGGAAGGUGGGGACGACGUCAAGUCCUCAUGGCCCUUACGGCCAGGGCUACACACGUGCUACAAUGGCCGGUACAACGGGUUGCUAAGCCGCGAGGUGGAGCUAAUCCCAUAAAGCCGGUCUCAGUUCGGAUUGGAGUCUGCAACUCGACUCCAUGAAGGUGGAAUCGCUAGUAAUCCCGGAUC